rnacentral:rRNA from 1 species
UACGGGGGGGGUAAGCGUUGUUCGGAAUUACUGGGCGUAAAGGGCUCGUAGGCGGCCAACUAAGUCAUACGUGAAAUCCCUCAGCUUAACUGGGGAACUGCGUCCGAUACUGGUUGGCUUGAAUCCGGGAGAGGGAUGUGGAAUUCCAGGUGUAGCGGUGAAAUGCGUAGAUAUCUGGAGGAACACCGGUGGCGAAGGCGACAUCCUGGACCGGUAUUGACGCUGAGGCGCGAAAGCCAGGGGAGCAAACGGG